rnacentral:sRNA from 1 species
GAUUUGUGUGCCAAGAUCCUGCCCAGCGGGCAUCAACUCGGCCAAUUUAUCCCACCUUUGAGUCUUCCAGGCGAAACCCUUUCCAGAAACCUCAGAUGACCUCCCUCAUCAUCAUGUAGAAGCUGAAAUAGCCAAGAUCCUCUUCUGGGAUCAGUGAUGGACAGGGCCCAUUUGACUGCCUUCUUGGAGUACCCAGGGUAGUCACGCUUGUUCCAGGCCUCUUGAAGUCCAGCAACCACAGUGAUAGCCUUUUGGCCACAGCUCUUUUCUGUGUUACUGAUGUCUCUCAUCUCAAUAUUUCCCCCUCAAAUUGUAAAACAUUUCACAGCCCAACUUUUUCAUUUGUGAUAUAAUAGAUUGUUCCUUGGUUUUGUGUCUUAUGUCUCAAUUCUCUUAAUUCUUCAUCUCCUGUGCUAAAAAUAUACCCACUGAAAUAAAUACACAU